UACGAAGGGGGGCUAGCGUUGCUCGGAAUCACUGGGCGUAAAGCGCACGUAGGCGGCUUUUUAAGUCAGGGGUGAAAUCCUGGAGCUCAACUCCAGAACUGCCUUUGAUACUGAGAGCUUGAGUCCGGGAGAGGUGAGUGGAACUGCGAGUGUAGAGGUGAAAAUUCGUAGAUAUUCGCAAGAACACCAGUGGCGAAGGCGGCUCACUGGCCCGGUACUGACGCUGAGGUGCGAAAGCGUGGGGAGCAAACAGG
rnacentral:rRNA from 1 species